rnacentral:rRNA from 1 species
CCUACGGGAGGCACCAGUGGGGAAUAUUGCACAAUGGGCGCAAGCCUGAUGCAGCCAUGCCGCGUGUAUGAAGAAGGCCCUAGGGUUGUAAAGUACUUUCAGUCGGGAGGAAGGCGUUGAUGCUAAUAUCAUCGGCGAUUGACGUUACCGACAGAAGAAGCACCGGCUAACUCCGUGCCAGCAGCCGCGGUAAUACGGAGGGUGCAAGCGUUAAUCGGAAUUACUGGGCGUAAAGCGCGCGCAGGCGGUUGAUUAAGUUAGAUGUGAAAUCCCCGGGCUUAACCUGGGAAUGGCAUCUAAGACUGGUCAGCUAGAGUCUUGUAGAGGGGGGUAGAAUUCCAUGUGUAGCGGUGAAAUGCGUAGAGAUGUGGAGGAAUACCGGUGGCGAAGGCGGCCCCCUGGACAAAGGCUGACGCUCAGGUGCGAAAGCGUGGGGAGCAAACAGGAUUAGAUACCCGCGUAGUC